rnacentral:rRNA from 1 species
ACUCAAAGGAAUAGACGGGGGCCCGCACAAGCAGUGGAGUAUGUGGUUUAAUUCGAAGCAACGCGAAGAACCUUACCAGGGCUUGACAUCCACGGAAGACUCAGAGAUGAGUUGUGCCGCAAGGAGCCGUGAGACAGGUGGUGCAUGGUUGUCGUCAGCUCGUGUCGUGAGAUGUUGGGUUAAGUCCCGCAACGAGCGCAACCCUUAUCGUCAGUUGCCAUCAUUCAGUUGGGCACUCUGGCGAGACUGCCGGUGACAAAUCGGAGGAAGGUGGGGACGACGUCAAAUCAUCAUGCCCCUUAUGUCCUGGGCUACACACGUACUACAAUGGCCGUUAACAGAGGGACGCCAGGCAGCGAUGCCGAGCAAAUCCCCAAAAACGGUCUCAGUUCAGAUUGCAGGCUGAAACCCGCCUGCAUGAAGUCGGAAUUGCUAGUAAUCGCGAAUCAGCAUGUCGCGGUGAAUACGUUCCCGGGCCUUGUACACACCGCCCGU